rnacentral:rRNA from 1 species
UGCAAGUCGAGCGGGCACCUUCGGGUGUCAGCGGCAGACGGGUGAGUAACACGUGGGAACGUACCCUUCGGUUCGGAAUAACGCUGGGAAACUAGCGCUAAUACCGGAUACGCCCUUAUGGGGAAAGGUUUACUGCCGAAGGAUCGGCCCGCGUCUGAUUAGCUAGUUGGUGGGGUAACGGCCUACCAAGGCGACGAUCAGUAGCUGGUCUGAGAGGAUGAUCAGCCACACUGGGACUGAGACACGGCCCAGACUCCUACGGGAGGCAGCAGUGGGGAAUAUUGGACAAUGGGCGCAAGCCUGAUCCAGCCAUGCCGCGUGAGUGAUGAAGGCCUUAGGGUUGUAAAGCUCUUUUGUCCGGGACGAUAAUGACGGUACCGGAAGAAUAAGCCCCGGCUAACUUCGUGCCAGCAGCCGCGGUAAUACGAAGGGGGCUAGCGUUGCUCGGAAUCACUGGGCGUAAAGGGCGCGUAGGCGGCCAUUCAAGUC